GCUACUUUGCUGACGAGCGGCGGACGGGUGAGUAAUGCUUGGGAACAUGCCUUGAGGUGGGGGACAACAGUUGGAAACGACUGCUAAUACCGCAUAACGUCUACGGACCAAAGGGGGCUUCGGCUCUCGCCUUUAGAUUGGCCCAAGUGGGAUUAGCUAGUUGGUGAGGUAAUGGCUCACCAAGGCGACGAUCCCUAGCUGGUUUGAGAGGAUGAUCAGCCACACUGGGACUGAGACACGGCCCAGACUCCUACGGGAGGCAGCAGUGGGGAAUAUUGCACAAUGGGCGCAAGCCUGAUGCAGCCAUGCCGCGUGUGUGAAGAAGGCCUUCGGGUUGUAAAGCACUUUCAGUCAGGAGGAAAGGUUAGUAGUUAAUACCUGCUAGCUGUGACGUUACUGACAGAAGAAGCACCGGCUAACUCCGUGCCAGCAGCCGCGGUAAUACGGAGGGUGCGAGCGUUAAUCGGAAUUACUGGGCGUAAAGCGUACGCAGGCGGUUUGUUAAGCGAGAUGUGAAAGCCCCGGGCUCAACCUGGGAACUGCAUUUCGAACUGGCAAACUAGAGUGUGAUAGAGGGUGGUAGAAUUUCAGGUGUAGCGGUGAAAUGCGUAGAGAUCUGAAGGAAUACCGAUGGCGAAGGCAGCCACCUGGGUCAACACUGACGCUCAUGUACGAAAGCGUGGGGAGCAAACGGGAUUAGAUACCCCGGUAGUCCACGCCGUAAACGAUGUCUACUAGAAGCUCGGAGCCUCGGUUCUGUUUUUCAAAGCUAACGCAUUAAGUAGACCGCCUGGGGAGUACGGCCGCAAGGUUAAAACUCAAAUGAAUUGACGGGGGCCCGCACAAGCGGUGGAGCAUGUGGUUUAAUUCGAUGCAACGCGAAAACCUUACCUACACUUGACAUACAGAGAACUUACCAGAGAUGGUUUGGUGCCUUCGGGAACUCUGAUACAGGUGCUGCAUGGCUGUCGUCAGCUCGUGUUGUGAGAUGUUGGGUUAAGUCCCGCAACGAGCGCAA
rnacentral:rRNA from 1 species